rnacentral:rRNA from 1 species
CCUACGUGAGGCAGCAGUGAGGAAUAUUGGUCAAUGGGCGCGAGCCUGAACCAGCCAAGUAGCGUGAAGGCUGACUGCCCUACGGGUUGUAAACUUCUUUUAUAAAGGAAUAAAGUGAGGCACGUGUGCCUUUUUGUAUGUACUUUAUGAAUAAGGAUCGUCUAACUCCGUGCCAGCAGCCGCGGUAAUACGGAGGAUCCGAGCGUUAUCCGGAUUUAUUGGGUUUAAAGGGAGCGUAGAUGGGUUGUUAAGUCAGUUGUGAAAGUUUGCGGCUCAACCGUAAAAUUGCAAUUGAUACUGGCAGUCUUGAGUACAGUUGAGGUAGGCGGAAUUCGUGGUGUAGCGGUGAAAUGCUUAGAUAUCACGAAGAACUCCGAUUGCGAAGGCAGCUUACUAAACUGCCACUGACAUUGAUGCUCGAAAGUGUGGGUAUCAAACAGGAUUAGAUACCCUAGUAGUC